AGUGAACCAGUACCGUGAGGGAAAGGCGAAAAGAACCCCUGUGAGGGGAGUGAAAUAGAACCUGAAACCGUGUACGUACAAGCAGUAGGAGCACCUUCGUGGUGUGACUGCGUACCUUUUGUAUAAUGGGUCAGCGACUUAUAUUCAGUGGCAAGGUUAACCGUAUAGGGGAGCCGUAGCGAAAGCGAGUCUUAACUGGGCGCUCAGUCUCUGGAUAUAGACCCGAAACCGGGUGAUCUAGCCAUGGGCAGGUUGAAGGUUGAGUAACAUCAACUGGAGGACCGAACCGACUAAUGUUGAAAAAUUAGCGGAUGACUUGUGGCUAGGGGUGAAAGGCCAAUCAAACUCGGAGAUAGCUGGUUCUCCCCGAAAGCUAUUUAGGUAGCGCCUCGGACGAAUACUACUGGGGGUAGAGCACUGUUAAGGCUAGGGGGUCAUCCCGACUUACCAACCCUUUGCAAACUCCGAAUACCAGUAAGUACUAUCCGGGAGACACACGGCGGGUGCUAACGUCCGUCGUGGAGAGGGAAACAACCCAGACCGCCAGCUAAGGUCCCAAAGUAUUGCUAAGUGGGAAACGAUGUGGGAAGGCUCAGACAGCUAGGAUGUUGGCUUAGAAGCAGCCAUCAUUUAAAGAAAGCGUAAUAGCUCACUAGUCGAGUCGGCCUGCGCGGAAGAUGUAACGGGGCUAAGCA
rnacentral:rRNA from 1 species